rnacentral:misc_RNA from 1 species
ACCUGUUCAUUAAACAAGCCAAACCAAAUUGAAUAUAAUAUUAUUCAAAUUUGAAUCAAAAAGAGGAGAGAAAAUCAUAAUAUCCGUAUUAUGUUCCAUUAAUAAAAGUUUCAGCAAGUAUUCUUAUAUAUGAUAUUUCAAAAAAAAAAAUUCCACAAGAUUAGAUAAGAUAAAAUUCACAACAUCUUUUGCUGCAAACUGAUUGAACCAACCCAAUUAUUUCAACAAACGUAUAGUUCUCCAAGCAUUUGAUCAUUCACUCAACCCAAGUCAUCCACCUGAACGUGGAUCCAUCUUACCAUAGGAAACAAUAAUCAGGCUAAAAUCUCCAGAAAAAUUGCGAAGAUUGCCCUUGCUCAAGAGUAUAGCAACCAUAUCUCAAUUGAUGACACACUGGCAUUUUUCUGUACAUAUUUUGAAAUAUUUUCUAAGCAUAAAGAUUACUUGCCAAUAUAAGAAUCUAUUACAAAUCAUAGUAUGCAACUAUUACAAACUACGUAAGGGUGUAAAAAGGGUAUGACCAGUUACAAGAGAACAUAAAGCAAAGGCUAUAAAUGCCAGGUAGGACAAUACCACAGAUGAUCUUGCCAUUGCCGGGAACUUGUCCUUACCCCAAUUGGACUCCCAGUCCUCAACACGGAAAGUAGCUGAUGAUGAUGAUGAUAAGAGAAGAUAUGUCAACAACUGCAAUAUUAAACAAAGAGCUCAAUUUUACUCAAGCAAUCAACAUAAUAAGCCGUGGAAUCAAGUAAUGACAGUGUAGAACUUAUAAAGUGGCCCUUUGUCCUUCUCUUCAUUUGAGAGUUUCAAGGGUGAGCUCAAGGCUUCACCUCUGCAGUUGAGCAGGAGCUUAACUAUAAGUUGCCAUUAAAAGUAGCUUACAAAAUGGUGAAAAUUACAAAUCAGGGAGAAGAAAAUUUAAAGCACCUGAUUUAUUGCAUUUGCAUAUACAUCUUAACUGCUACAAGCCUACAAAGUCAAACUAACCUGCCCUUAUUUAUUAUUUAUUUAAUAAAUGGGGGAUGGGAAUGGCUUCAGCAUUACUGCAAAAAUCAUUGAUGGGCUUCAGGACUGGGCCAUCUUGGCCUACUCAUUUCUCCAUCAAACUCUAUUUUUCACUUUCAGCACGCGGUCUUAUCUGACGACCAAAGUCUCAAGAAGCACACAUGCUUCAAAAAAGAGAAAACAGAGCCUUCACCAUUUGCAAACCCUUCACCAUACGCUCACGGAAAUCUUUCUCCUAUAUGCCACAAUUCACCAGGUUCUCUCUUUACUUCUUUGAUACCUCAUUAUCCCUCUUAAAUACUUUCAGAACUUUUAUCCCGUCAGAAACCAUGUUUUUUCAGAGUCAAGGGUCCCAGAAUUCCAUUCUAUGGGAUACAAUAACUUUGCCUCUUUUAAGCAAUCAGAAACAUACUUUAAAUGUUCUAUUCAAAGUACGUUCCUUUUCUGUAUCUUUUGCUUUGUAUUUUGAAGCAUCAAAAAGUGGCAUAUUGCUAAACCUUGAUCCUAUAAAGUUAAGGGCCUGAAGUUGCAUCCUAAGCCACUUUAAAUACACCUUUCUUAAUCCACGUUUGUAGUGAAAAAGUGAAAGGUGUCUUUAUUCCUCACUUUAGUUGCAGCAAAUAUUGCUUGGACAUUAAGCAUUUCGACAAUGCCAACUAGUGAAAGUAAUCCCCUUCGCCAGUCAAUUGAGUAUCUCCUCAACACCAAUACAAAUACAAGCCAUAGAAUCUGAAAGUAAAAGGCAGCAUCAUACAGGGGAAAAGUUAGAUAUUGCUAAAAAGUAGUAGUCCAAGAAUCACCAUGAACAAUGGGACAUGUGGGCCCAACACUUCAAUCCUAAGCAACUCAGUACGGGACAAUGACCCACAAAGACUCAUAUUAUUAGUUAAUUGAGAGUUUUUAGCAAACAUGACAUGAGCAAUUGGAGAUAAAUCCACCGUCCAUGGCCCAUAGUGCACUCACCUUUACAGGAUUAUAGUGGUCCCUAAUUUCUAUAAUUACUACAAUUGAAACCACUGCCUGCCCACAAAAUUAGAGCGACAUGAACAAGGCGCCUUAGGUUAGGUAACAGCAUUUAAUAAAAUAAUGACCCAAAGAAAGGGACUUGCCUGAUCUAGAGAGAAAUCCAGGUAGUAACGGAGCUGAUUCUGGGAAACAAGCUUCCCGGUAGCCAAAGAGUAGGCAAGAUCAUAUGCUUGCAGGCCUGAGUACACAAAACCCAUCACGUUCACUGACAUACAGUACCUGAACUCCUUGUAGCGAUAGAAAGAGUCAAGAGCCCAACCCUCAUUCUUAUCAGCAGCCAUGAUCGAGAACGAAGCCAAACAAAAAACCAAACCAAAAAACCUAAAACCCAGCAAAGUCUUUCUCUUCACAAUUUCCCUCUUCCUCCCUGAAAUUGACAAAUUCGCCCUUCUCCUGCUACUGCCACCGCCACCAGUAAUACCAUCUUCAGCUGAUUUAACAACCUCAUCAUCUUGGGCGUCAGACCCGACCUUGGAAACAUGCACUGCAGCUGCUGCCGCUGCCGCCGGGGGAGGAGGAGACGGAGGCUUUGCGGAUUUGACAUCUGGCGAUGAUGAGAAUACAUAACUGUGAGAGAUUUGAUCUUCCGGGGGAGAUUUGUACUUGGAUUGUUUGAUUUGUGGAGGAGAUAAUGCAUAGCAAUGAGACAUAGAGGAAUGAUCUAAGGAACAAGUGGAAUCGGGUGGAGAAUCAAAGCGUGAGGAAGAGAGUGUAGGAGGGGGUUUAGGAGGUGGUGAAGACAAAGAGUAGUGCAUGGUGAGUGGUGGUGGAUUUGAGAUGGAGUGAUUACGUUGUUCAUCUACUUCUUGGAGCUGCGGCUCUUCUUCUUCUUCUCCUGGUAGUCGUUGAUUAUGCUCAUUUUCUUGGACGUGGGGGUGCUGUUGCUGGGCAUCUUCCUGGGUUUUCAUGGUUUCUUGGAUUUAGAGAUACAGUUCUGAAAUUAGCAAUCAAAGUUUAGUAUUGAAGUGAAUAUGGAGAUUGCUUCUGGUAUUGCCAAUGUUGAAACCUGACAGUGCCCUGUGUAGACUUGACGCAGAAGGAAAGUAGGCGCUAGACGAGUCAAAGAACCUAUGGUAACUAGUAAGAGAGUGGCAACCGGUUUGGUCGGGCGGGUAUGAAUUCGGAUAAUUUGGAUCCGAUUUAUUUCGAAUUGUAUGUUAUUUUACAUUUUUUU